rnacentral:sRNA from 1 species
CUUUAAAAACAAAGAGAAAGAAAGGAAAGAAGAAAGAGAGAGAGAGGAAUAGCUUAGUGGGUAAAAGUACUUGCUAUUAUGUCUGACUUGGUUUUAACAAGUUAGAGUGGUCUGGUAAUAUGAACCUCAACUGAAAAAUAGCCUCCAUCAGAUUGCCUCUAGGCAAGUCUGUAGUGCUUCUUCUUGAUGAACUAACGGGUAGGUCCCACCCAAGGUGGGAGAAUGCCAUGCCUGGUCUAGUAAUCUGGGGUGUGUUAGAGAGUAAGCAGAGCAAGCUGUGGGGAGCAAGUCAGCAAGCAGCACUCCUCCAGACUCUGCUUCAGGUCCUGCCGCCAGGUUCCUGCCCUGAGCUCCUCUGUCUUAGCUUCCCCUAAUGAUACACUGUAAUCUGGAGGCCAAAUAGCCCUCUGUUCUCAAGGUGGGUGCUGUUAGUCAUGGUGUUCUAUCACAGCAAUGGAGACCCUAACUAGACAGUCCUGACACCUUGACUGAGAGGAAACAACUCCAACAUGUUGUCCUCUGACUUCCACACACACUCCAUGACACGUGUGUCCACAUACAUACAUACAUACAUACAUACAUACAUACAUACAUACACAGAAAUAAAUAGAAAUUUUUGAAUUCAUGCCUUAAUACAACAGAUAUAUUUAGCAGUACAAAAAAGGAACGGAAUACCAACCUAUGUUAUUAAGCUAAGCUAGGUGAAGGAGCACAUGUUGCAUGAUACAUACAUGUAACAUAGACAAGCCAUACAGAUUGAUGGAAGGGAUGUUUAUCAUCCUUUGCGAAGGUCAGAGUCAGGGAGUGGUGCUAACAGGUUCAGGGACUUUGGGGAACAUAAGAAAGUUCUAAAAUCAAACUAUGUAGUAUUCAUACAUCUUUGUAAGUACAUGAAAAACAUUGAAUUGUAUACUUUAAAUGAUUUUGUUAUAUGAAAAUUCUAUCAAUAAAAUUUUAAAGCAGGUUUUAAAAACUAUCUUAAUAAUGAUGUCUAUAGUAAACCCAAGAGUAGGCUCCGCUUUCUAAAAUCUUUUUUGUGCUGAUUUAGUCACUGACAAUUUAAGCUACGGCCAUAUUGUCAGGCACUGAGUCCUUUAUUGUAAUUUGGUAGUUAACCUGUGUGCUUGCUCCUUACAUCUGUGUAGGACUUACAGUAAGCUCACAGUGGUUACUGGUUUCAUUUUCAAAAGUUCCAUGAAGGAAAGUAUUAGUAAGAAGAAAAAUAAUACAGCCUGGUAGAGCAAGUGACAGACACUGCCUUUAGUAGACGUUUCCCAGGAGAAGUGUGCACACUUGUGCUAACCUGAGGAUGGGUCAGCACAGAGGAGCUGUACAAGGGUGAGUAGCAAAACCCUAACAGCGAGCACUGCAGCCUAGAGAGAGUGGACGCUGCUGGUGCUGCCACUGAGCUGUCAGAAUGCUAAGAUGUGCCCAGGCUGGACCCUACCUGCCCCACAUACAGUGGAACUCUAAGAACGGUGACUUUAUUUCCCAGGCUAAAAACUGGUGAAGUAGCUAGCCUGUGUGUGCUGGGAAGUGGACUAUUUAUACACCCUGGGGGCAGAGGGGUUAAUAGACCCUGGGGACAGAGGGGUUAUAUAUCCUGGGAACAGGAGGGAUACUUGAAAUCUGGAUUCUUCAUAGAACAUGAUUUAUAGAUUUUGGAACAGGAAC